UGCAUUCACUACUGUAAGUCGCUCUGGAUAAGAGCGUCUGGUAAAUGUAAAUGU
rfam:Salmo salar isolate Sally breed double haploid chromosome ssa06, whole genome shotgun sequence.